rnacentral:sRNA from 1 species
GCCGGAUGCGAUGGCCCACACCUGUAAUCCCAGCAGCCUGGGAGGCUGAGGCAGGAGGAUCAAGAGUUCAAAGCCAGCCGCAGCAACAGCAAAACACUAAGCAACUCAUGAGACCCUGUCUCUA